rfam:Homo sapiens chromosome 2, GRCh38 reference primary assembly.
GCUAGGUGUGAUGGCUCAUGCCUGUAAUCCCAGCUACUCGGGAGGCUGAGGCAGGAGAAUGGCUUGAACCUGGGAGGUGGAGGUUGCAGUGAGCCGAGAUCAAGCCACUGCACUCCAGCCUGGGUGACAGAGUGAGACUCUGUCUCUU